rnacentral:sRNA from 1 species
CGGGGCGCCUGCCGGGCCCCGAAAUCAAGGCGGGCGCCGGAAGGUGUCCGGUGCCAGCUCGUACCCAACUUGCUCUUUGGAGGAUUUGGCUAUGAGGU